rnacentral:SRP_RNA from 1 species
UGGCGGGAUAGCCUGGGCAAUUCGACGUUGCCUGUAACCCGAAACCGUCGAUAUGCGGGAGGCGAAACCAAUGGAAGAUAUCCUGCUCUUCUGUACCAGCCCACAGGAUAACGGUGAAGUUUCGUCCCGUGGGGGUGGUGUUGCUAUGAGGGGGCGCUGGAGGGCGGUUUUUCAUGGCUUAAUCGUGGAAAAUGGUUCAGGCCCGGAAGGGAGCAGACCAGCCGCGAACAACCAUCGCUCAUGGGGUUGCGGGAUGGAGAAGUGCUGGAUGUUGGUAUUGUGGGCUGUGGCGCCAUCGGGACGAUA